rnacentral:misc_RNA from 1 species
GUUCCGGUUCAUCAUCAACUUCUCCACUAGUUACGUUAGAUACUGCUCCUACCUAUCUUUAACUGUUCUUCUACAAGAGGACUUUAGAUUCGUAGUUGAAAGCCAAUGUAGAUCAGCACAAGAAGCCAAAGUUGCCAUUAUCGAAGUUGAGAGCAUAACUGAAGGGAUCAUAGUGGAAGCUGAACCUUUGCUUGGACCGAUUCUUCACUUGUCUCCUUAUCUCUGCCCUAACCCUCCAAAACAAGCUUCUAAACUUCCUCUUUCCGCACAGGAGCACCGCAUUUGGAUCAAAGCAAAACCUCGUGAAACCCAUAUUCUUGAAUCCUCUGAAACCCCAGAAAAGAAAGCUAAGUAACAAGAGUUAUGGGUGAUGGGAGUUAAUAUAGAAUGAAAGUGGGGGUAGGGUUUGGGGUGGACAGAUAUAGAGAGGCCAACCACGGCCAGCUUUAACGCUGGAGAAAGCUGAAAUGGCAG